UACGAAGGGGGCUAGCGUUGUUCGGAAUUACUGGGCGUAAAGCGUGCGCAGGCGGCUUCUCAAGUCAGGGGUGAAAGCCCAGAGCUCAACUCUGGAACUGCCUUUGAGACUGAGAGGCUUGAGUACGGGAGAGGCCGGUGGAAUUCCCGGUGUAGUGGUGAAAUGCGUAGAGAUCGGGAGGAACGCCAGUGGCGAAGGCGGCCGGCUGGGGGUGACCUGACGCUGAGGCGCGAAAGCGUGGGGAGCGAACCGG
rnacentral:rRNA from 1 species